GCCGGGAUGGUUUAAUCGGUUAAGGGCGUCGCUCAGGGUAGGCGAAGGUUGCGGGUUCGAUUUCCACUCCCGGUA
rnacentral:tRNA from 1 species